UAGCUAGUUGGUGAGGUAAAGGCUUACCAAGGCGACGAUCUGUAGCGGGUCUGAGAGGAUGAUCCGCCACACUGGAACUGAGACACGGUCCAGACUCCUACGGGAGGCAGCAGUGGGGAAUUUUGGACAAUGGGGGCAACCCUGAUCCAGCCAUGCCGCGUGAGUGAAGAAGGCCUUCGGGUUGUAAAGCUCUUUCGGCCGGAAAGAAAUCGCAUGGGUCAAUACCCUGUGUUGGUGACGGUACCGGAAUAAGAAGCACCGGCUAACUACGUGCCAGCAGCCGCGGUAAUACGUAGGGUGCGAGCGUUAAUCGGAAUUACUGGGCGUAAAGCGUGCGCAGGCGGUUUUGUAAGACAGGCGUGAAAUCCCCGGGCUUAACCUGGGAACUGCGUUUGUGACUGCAAGGCUAGAGUACGGCAGAGGGGGGUGGAAUUCCACGUGUAGCAGUGAAAUGCGUAGAGAUGUGGAGGAACACCAAUGGCGAAGGCAGCCCCCUGGGUCGAUACUGACGCUCAUGCACGAAAGCGUGGGUAGCAAACAGGAUUAGAUACCCUGGUAGUCCACGCCCUAAACUAUGUCAACUAGGUGUUGGGUGGGUAAAACCAUUUAGUACCGUAGCUAACGCGUGAAGUUGACCGCCUGGGGAGUACGGCCGCAAGGUUAAAACUCAAAGGAAUUGACGGGGACCCGCACAAGCGGUGGAUGAUGUGGAUUAAUUCGAUGCAACGCGAAAAACCUUACCUACCCUUGACAUGCCAGGAACUUGCCAGAGAUGGCUUGGUGCCCGAAAGGGAGCCUGGACACAGGUGCUGCAUGGCUGUCGUCAGCUCGUGUCGUGAGAUGUUGGGUUAAGUCCCGCAACGAGCGCAACCCUUGUCGUUAAUUGCCAUCAUUUGGUUGGGCACUUUAACGAGACUGCCGGUGACAAACCGGAGGAAGGCGGGGAUGACGUCAAGUCCUCAUGGCCCUUAUGGGUAGGGCUUCACACGUCAUACAACGGUCGGUACAAAGGGUUGCCAAGCCGCGAGGCGGAGCCAAUCCCAGAAAGCCGAUCGUAGUCCGGAUUGCAGGCUGCAACUCGCCUGCAUGAAGUCGGAAUCGCUAGUAAUCGUGGAUCAGCAUGUCACGGUGAAUACGUUCCCGGGUCUUGUACACACCGCCCGUCACACCAUGGGAGCGGGUUCCGCCAGAAGUAGGUAGCCUAACCGCAAGGGGGGCGCUUACCACGGCGGGGUUCGUGACUGGGGUGAAGUCGAAACAAGGUAGCCGUAGGGGAACCUGCGGCUG
rnacentral:rRNA from 1 species